UCCGAGAGAUAUCGCAAAAGUUGAAUGCACCUAAAUUGUUUGGUGACAGUUAACAUCUGCACGUUUAGAUUACAGUAGAGGACUCACAAUGUCGAAUAAAGUGUUACUGCCGCUGAUUGUUGUGAUUUGUCUUUACGCAAGCUCUUGCUCAGCGAUAAAAUGCUAUACGUGCCUCAGUCUCACUGACGUUAGCUGCGCGGAUGAUUUCGAUAAACGCAACCAUAAUUUGACUGACGGCUGCGCCCAAUGUGGGAAGCAAAAAGGAACUGUCAAAACUCAUGUCGUGAUAAGAGCGUGCCUUGAAAAAGUUAUCGGGGGUAACGAGUGUACGAAGUUGACAAAGGAUGGCGCGGAAGCGCUUAACUGUCUCUGCAAUACAGAUGGAUGUAACGCGGCCUCUUCCAUCUACGUCACCAUAGCAAUCAUGUCAGCGCCACUAUUGAUUUUGGCGAAACAUUUGUAAAAUGUAUAAUAUAUUUCAAUGAGAGGCAACGGAGACGAACUGUUCAAAUAAUAUGGACAUUUAGUGAAGCUGUUGGCUACGGGAUCCCGAUCGAAACAACACAUGUGAUGACAUCAUAUUGACACGUUAAUGAUAAGUCGUUUUGGUGUUGUUAAUUAUUGUAUUUAUUGUGAUUUUGCAUGUAUGUGCCUUCAUAAUGAUUACUUUAAUUAUUAUUCUUACAUAAAAUAAUAACGUGAAAUAAAAUGCACAUUUUAAAAUAAAACACAUAUUCUGAAAUAUAUUAAUCAACCCAAUCGAUAUUCUAUAAUAUAUUAGUCAACCGCAGUUAUUUUUUGUAAUAUAUAUUAAGCAACCCACUUGAUACUCUAUAAUAUUGGUCAAACCUAGUUAUUUUAGGCAAUAUAUAUUAAGCAACCCACAUCAUACUCUAUAAUAUAAGUCAACCCAAGUUAGUGUAUGCAAUAUAUAUUAAGCAACCCACGUCAUACUCUAUAUUAUGUGUCAACCCAAGUUAGUUUAUGCAAUAUAUAUUAGGCAUACCACUUGAUACUCUAUACUAUUAGUUAAACCAAGUUAUGUUAUGCAAUAUAUAUUAAGCAACCAACUUGAUACUCUGUAAUAUUAGUCUACCUAAGUUAUUUUAUUCAAUAUUCAGAGGCACGCCUCUGAAAAAAAGUACACUAUCGAGCCUUGAUUCGAUAAAAGCAUAAUACACUGUAAAUGUCAUUUCAUUCUUUAGCAGAGGCAACUUGAUUUAUAUAAAUACAUCUUGAGUGGUUCUUUACCAUUGUUACUGCCAUGGCUGCGGUGUUUUGUUUCUUUUCUCAUUUUAAGAGCGAGUCGGUUAUGUACGUUUAACAAAUUAGUAAUUGUACUAUACGAAUGAAGAUAAAAAGUG